rnacentral:rRNA from 1 species
AUUGAACGCUGGCGGAAUGCUUUACACAUGCAAGUCGAACGGCAGCACGGGAGCUUGCUCCUGGUGGCGAGUGGCGAACGGGUGAGUAAUAUAUCGGAACGUAUCCAAUAAUGGGGGAUAACUAGUCGAAAGAUUAGCUAAUACCGCAUACGCCCUGAGGGGGAAAGCUGGGGAUCUUCGGACCUAGCGUUAAUGGAGCGGCCGAUAUCUGAUUAGCUAGUAGGUGAGGUAAAAGAUCACCUAGGCGACGAUCAGUAGCUGGUCUGAGAGGACGAAGAGCCAGACUGGAACUUAGACACGGUCCAGACUCCUACGGGAGGCAGCAUUGGGGAAUUUUGGACAAUGGGCGCAAGCCUGAUCCAGCCAUUCCGGGUGAGUGAAGAAGGCCUUCGGGUUGUAAAGCUCUUUCGCAAGGGAAGAAAACUUAACCUCUAACAUAGGUUGAGGCUGACGGUACCUUGAUAAGAAGCACCGGCUAACUACGUGCCAGCCGCCGCAGUAA